GAUGAACGCUGGCGUCGUGCCUAAUACAUGCAAGUCGAGCGAACAGACGAGGAGCUUGCUCCUCUGACGUUAGCGGCGGACGGGUGAGUAACACGUGGAUAACCUACCUAUAAGACUGGGAUAACUUCGGGAAACCGGAGCUAAUACCGGAUAAUAUAUUGAACCGCAUGGUUCAAUAGUGAAAGACGGUUUUGCUGUCACUUAUAGAUGGAUCCGCGCCGCAUUAGCUAGUUGGUAAGGUAACGGCUUACCAAGGCAACGAUGCGUAGCCGACCUGAGAGGGUGAUCGGUCACACUGGAACUGAGACACGGUCCAGACUCCUACGGGAGGCAGCAGUAGGGAAUCUUCCGCAAUGGGCGAAAGCCUGACGGAGCAACGCCGCGUGAGUGAUGAAGGUCUUCGGAUCGUAAAACUCUGUUAUUAGGGAAGAACAAAUGUGUAAGUAACUAUGCACGUCUUGACGGUACCUAAUCAGAAAGCCACGGCUAACUACGUG
rnacentral:rRNA from 1 species